UACGUAGGGGGCAAGCGUUGUCCGGAUUUAUUGGGCGUAAAGAGCGUGUAGGCGGCCUGACAGGUCUGCUGUGAAAACUCGAGGCUCAACCUCGAGAUGUCGGCGGAAACCGUCUGGCUAGAGUCCGGAAGAGGAGAGUGGAAUUCCUGGUGUAGCGGUGAAAUGCGCAGAUAUCAGGAAGAACACCCGUGGCUAAGGCGGCUCUCUAGUACGGUACUGACGCUGAGACGCGAAAGCGUGGGGAGCGAACAGG
rnacentral:rRNA from 1 species